GACGAACGCUGGCGGCGUGCCUAAUACAUGCAAGUCGAGCGAAUCGAUGGGAGCUUGCUCCCUGAGAUUAGCGGCGGACGGGUGAGUAACACGUGGGUAACCUGCCUGUAAGACUGGGAUAACUUCGGGAAACCGGUGCUAAUACCGGAUACUUUCUUUUCUCGCAUGAGGGAAGAUGGUAAGAUGGUUCUGCUAUCACUUACAGAUGGACCCGCGGCGCAUUAGCUAGUUGGUGAGGUAACGGCUCACCAAGGCGACGAUGCGUAGCCGACCUGAGAGGGUGAUCGGCCACACUGGGACUGAGACACGGCCCAGACUCCUACGGGAGGCAGCAGUAGGGAAUCUUCCGCAAUGGACGAAAGUCUGACGGAGCAACGCCGCGUGAGCGAAGAAGGCCUUCGGGUCGUAAAGCUCUGUUGUUAGGGAAGAACAAGUACGAGAGUAAAUGCUCGUACCUUGACGGUACCUAAACAGAAAGCCACGGCUAACUACGUGCCAGCCGCCGCCGUAACAC
rnacentral:rRNA from 1 species